rfam:Fomitiporia mediterranea MF3/22 unplaced genomic scaffold FOMMEscaffold_4, whole genome shotgun sequence.
UCGGAUAUGGUGUAACGGCUAACAUUGCCGCCUCUCAAUUUGGUUCGCGGCAGCUCGGGGUUCGAUUCCCCGUAUCCGAA